rnacentral:rRNA from 1 species
AUUGAACGCUAGCGGCAGGCCUUACACAUGCAAGUCGAACGAGUGGCGGACGGGUGAGUAAUGUCUGGGAACCUGCCUGAUAGAGGGGGAUAACUACUGGAAACGGUAGCUAAUACCGCAUACCAUCGGAUCUGCCCAGAUGGGAUUAGCUAGUAGGUGGGGUAAAGGCUCACCUAGGCGACGAUCCGUAGCUGGUCUGAGAGGAUGACCAGCCACACUGGAACUGAGACACGGCCCAGACUCCUACGGGAGGCAGCAGUGGGGAAUAUUGGACAAUGGGCGAAACCCUGAUGCAGCCAUGCCGCGUGUAUGAAGAAGGCCUUCGGGUUGUAAAGUACUUUUAGCGGGGAGGCGGUACCUGCAGAAGAAGCACCGGCUAACUACGUGCCAGCAGCCGCGGUAAUAC